UACGUAGGGUGCGAGCGUUAAUCGGAAUUACUGGGCGUAAAGCGCGUGUAGGCGGCCUGCUAAGUCUGAUGUGAAAGCCCGGGGCUCACCCCCGGAAGUGCAUUGGAAACUGGUAGGCUCGAGUCCCGGAGAGGAGGGUGGAAUUCCUGGUGUAGCGGUGAAAUGCGUAGAUAUCAGGAGGAACACCGGUGGCGAAGGCGGCCCUCUGGACGGUGACUGACGCUGAGACGCGAAAGCGUGGGGAGCAAACAGG
rnacentral:rRNA from 1 species